UUAGGUCAAGCUACAAAGGGCGCAUGGUGAAUGCCUUGGCAUCAGGAGCCGAUGAAGGACGCGAUAAGCUGCGAUAAGCUUCGGGUAGACGCACAUAGUCAGAGAUCCGAAGAUUUCCGAAUGAGGAAACUCACAUGGGAAACCCCAUGUAUCAUAAAGUGAAUACAUAGCUUUAUGAAGGUAUACCCAGGGAACUGAAACAUCUAAGUACCUGGAGGAAGAGAAAGAAAAAUCGAUUUUCUUAGUAGCGGCGAGCGAAAAGGAAAGAGCCCAAACCAGAGAUUUAUCUCUGGGGUUGCGGACAGAAUAUAACGAGAAAUCAUAGUUAAUUGAACACAACUGGAAAGUUGGACCACAGUGGGUAAUAGUCCCGUAAGUGAAAACUAUGAUAAUCAGUUCUGCACCAGAGUACCACGAGACACGUGAAACCUUGUGGGAAGCAGG
rnacentral:rRNA from 1 species